UACGAAGGGGGCUAGCGUUGCUCGGAAUUACUGGGCGUAAAGGGCGCGUAGGCGGACAGUUUAGUCAGAGGUGAAAGCCCAGGGCUCAACCUUGGAAUUGCCUUUGAUACUGGCUGUCUUGAGUUCGGGAGAGGUGAGUGGAAUGCCGAGUGUAGAGGUGAAAUUCGUAGAUAUUGGGAAGAACACCAGUGGCGAAGGCGGCUCACUGGCUCGUAACUGACGCUCAGGCGCGACAGCGUGGGGAUCAAACAGG
rnacentral:rRNA from 1 species